rnacentral:rRNA from 1 species
UACGGAGGGGGCAAACGUUGCUCGGAAUUAUUGGGCGUAAAGCGCACGUAGGCGGUUCGCUAAGUCGGGUGUGAAAGCCCCGGGCUCAACCCGGGAAGUGCAUUCGAAACUGACGAGCUUGAGUACGGAAGAGGGUCUCGGAAUUCCCGGUGUAGAGGUGAAAUUCGUAGAUAUCGGGAGGAACACCAGUGGCGAAGGCGGAGACCUGGGCCGAUACUGACGCUGAGGUGCGAAAUCGUGGGGAGCAAACAGG